rnacentral:rRNA from 1 species
UUUUAAAUGGCCGCAGUAUUUUGACUGUGCAAAGGUAGCAUAAUCAUUAGUUUUUUAAUUAAAAGCUUGUAUGAAAGGCUGGACGAGGUAAAAUCUGUCUCUAUUUAAAUUAAAAUAGAAUUUAACUUUUAAGUUAAAAGGCUUAAAUAUUAUUAAAAGACGAGAAGACCCUAUAGAUCUUUAUAAUUUAUUAAAUUAAAUUAAUUUAGAAAUAUUAAUGUUUUAUUUGAUUAAAUUAUUUUAUUGGGGUAAUAAAAAGAUUGAAUUAAUUCUUUUUUAUAAUAGACAUUAAUUUAUGAAUAUUAAUGAUCCAGUUUUACUGAUUAUAAGAUUAAGUUACCUUAGGGAUAACAGCGUAAUUUUUUUAGAGAGUUCAUAUCGAUAAAAAAGUUUGCGACCUCGAUGUUGGAUUAAAGAUUAUUUUAGGUGUAGAAGCUUAAUAAUUUUGGUCUGUUCGACCAUUAAAUCUUUACAUGAUCUGAGUUCAGACCGGCGUAAGCCAGGUCGGUUUCUAUCUUUAAUAAAAUAAAAUAUUUUAGUACGAAAGGACCAAAUAUUUGAUAUAUUUAUAUUUAAUUUAUUGAAUAUUA